AAGUGUUACAGCUUCUUUACAAUUUGUCUAGUAGGUUUCCAGUAACAACUGGAAAAUGCCACC
ensembl:snRNA U7 U7 small nuclear RNA